GCUCAUUACAACAGCUAUAAUUUACUUGACCUUGACAACCUACUUGGAUAACUGUGGUAAUUCUAGAGCUAAUACAUGCACCAAAGCUCCGAUCCUCGCGGAGAGGAGCGCAUUUGUUCGCCACAAAACCAAGCGCCCUUCUGGGCGUCCAGUGCUGAACCAGAACAACUCAGCUGAUCGCACGGUCUCGCACCGGCGACGUGUCUUUCAAGUGUCUGCCUUAUCAACUUUCGAUGGUAGUGUACCUGACUACCAUGGUUGUGACGGGUAACGGAGGAUAAGGGUUCGACUCCGGAGAAGGGGCCUGAGAAAUGGCCACUACGUCUAAGGAUGGCAGCAGGCGCGCAAAUUACCCACUCUCAACGCGAGGAGGUAGUGACGAGAAAUAACAAGACCGUUCUCCUACGAGGCCGGUUAUUGGAAUGGGUACAAUUUAAACCCUUUAACGAGUAUCUAUGAGAGGGCAAGUCUGGUGCCAGCAGCCGCGGUAAUUCCAGCU
rnacentral:rRNA from 1 species